rnacentral:lncRNA from 1 species
GCAAAGAUCACCUUCAACAUUUAUUAGAGUUGAUUAAUAUUUUGAUUGCAAAUGCCAAAUACAUUACUUAAUAUAAAUACUUUUGAAAAAAAUAAAAGGAACACAUUUAAUGCUAUUUCAGAUUUUUGGGGGUUUGUUUUUGCUAAUCCCAAAUCAAAAUUCACGAAAUGAUUUAUUGUGAAAACUGCAAUCAGCAAUUCAAAUAGCAAUUUACAAAUCAAACACUUGAAUAUAACACAAACCAAAAUAUACUGAGGAGUGACAGUAGAAAAAAUAUUAAAUGUCUUUGUUUUCCAUAAUUAAACUAUUAAUGUUUCUAUAAAAGCAGAAAUAUUGUUCAUAGGCGUGGCUAAUGUCAUAGUAUGAUCACAUGAGUGGUGCUGAGAACACAAGAGUUCAGAAUCAAGGCUGUCACGUGAUCAAAGCAGGGGAACACUGUAAAAACACCUACGAUUCAUUUCUCAUCUGAUUUUUAGUAAUAGGACGUACAAAAAUCAUUCACUGUUGCCAAUUUUUUUGUGACCCCAAAAUUUAGUCACAUGAACCCCAUCGGGGGAGGGCUCUUAACUCAGGAUAACUGGACUUUGUAGCAUACUACAACCAUUCCUGAAGCUGUGAAUUCUCUGUGAUAGAGUUAAAUAUAUAUCUAUAUAUGUAUACACACACACACACACACAUAUAUAUAUAUAAACACACAUUCAUACAUAUAUAUGUAUAUAUGUACAUACACAUAUAUGUAUAUAAUAAUACUAUAUUACACAAUAUAUAUGUAUAUGUAUACACACACACACACACACACACACACACGUGUGUGUGUGUGUGUGAAUGAAUCUGCUGACAGGAGGCAUUUGUCCAUACUCUAUGGACAGCAUGGUAACUGUGUUGGUCCCUUGGCUUGCAUUCUAACUGAACUUUUCACCACGGUUCCAUCCGGAUGCUUCUAUGGGGACUAAGUGACCCAAACUACACAUUGUAUGAAUGAAUUGAUUGUGUUCCUUCUUUUGCUGGAAACCAGUAUGGAGGCCAUUUUUACAGAUGACCUUGGUGCGCUAUAUAAACCUCUAAAAGAUACUACUUGCACAAGUAUUGGCAGCAAAGAAGGCAUGUAUCAAACAAGUCUAUCUUUGUGAGUCUAAUGAGUGAGUACCCCUCACAAUGAGAGGGGGCUAGGGUAUGUCCUAGCCAUACACAGCUAGCUGGGCCAUGUUGUUCUUGGGCAGGGGAGCUUCAUGCCAUUUUGGCUUUCCACAGGUUGGGCCUUUCUUGAACUCUGGAAAGCCAGAUCACCUCUGUAGAGGAAGAGGGUGUUGAAGCCAUUAAUAACCUCUUUCCCUACUCUUCUGGCAUUUUUUUUCUAUGUGGACUCAUUAAGCAAAUAUCAAGAUGGCUAUUGAAAGACACAGAAUGACAAUUGUAAUCAGAUUUUGUUCACUUUAUUGUGAAGGCUGUCCUCUGGGUUCUCCUUUAUGAGAUUUAGGCAAAGAGAAUUAGCCUUGUGCCAUGGGUUUACUAAGAACCCCACCCUUAACACUUCAUUACAGGCAUCUUCACUACCAAUUUUCCAGUUUUGUCUUUGAAAAGUUCCACCCGGGUUUAUGUAGUAUGAGACCUCAGACCCACUCCUUUGUAGGGAGUAGAGAAUCAGGCAUUGCAUCCAAAUUCCUUCUAACUUGGAGGGUUGCCCUUUAUCGCUGUGUCUCAGGUCAAGCUUGCAAGACUGGCUGGUGCUGACACACUCACAGAUCUGACACAGUGAGCUGGCUGGUGGGAGCUCCUUUUGAAGCUUUGUUUUGAGGGAAAAGAGCUAAUUAGGGUGAAAUGUCAUAAGACUGAAUCAUCUGGGACUAUAACUCACAUGCAUGCAUCUUCAAGAUCCGAGUGGACCUCUUCUUUAGGUGCACAUUAGUUUAAAAAUGGAACAAAGUUGUGAAUAUCAAAUUUUAAACUUUGCUGGAUCAGAUUAUAGCCAGUUAGUUACACAUGAUCCUGCAUCUACUGGGUUUUCUAUGGCCAGAGAUGAGUUUCUGUAAGGACCCACCAACCAACAUCUAAUGCUAAAGAGGGUAUUGUUUUACUCUAAAAUCCUAGAAGUCUGUGUAUGAUUGAUAGACCACAGUUUGCCAGAAGAUCUUUUGUAGCAUCUCUGAAUGCUAUCGUCUCUUCCAAUUUUACUGGUUCUGAAAGGUCAUCAGGACCAAGGGUCAGGACGUACUAGAACCUGAACUUUGCAGAGACUGUAUUCUUUUCUUCCCUUGGAAAUGUAAUAUUCCUGAUCUGUAGCUCUCCUUCUAUUUCCUCUCAACUUUGAAUCUUAUGAAAAAAGCAAAUUAACAUUUCCUUUUGGGGGGGGGAUCUGAUUUCCUAUGGUAUUUCCAGCUACAAUGAUUUCCAGUAGGAAAUAGUGGCACAACGAAGUGAAUAAACAUCAAAGAGGCCUGCUGGAGCCUGAAAGGAGAGUUGUCAUAAGAGAAACUGUGGUCUUCAUUUGAGGGAUACAGACAGCUUGAGGUGGGCAGAGUACACAAAGAAACUGGAAGAAUAAAAACGUGACUUCUCCUGUUUUCCUUUCUGUAGGGAUUCCCCAGUGGCAAGUGGAAAUACAAAACAAACCAAAAAAACAAAUAAACAAACAAAAACCAAACCAAAAACAAAAAACCCAAACAUUUCAGGAGUCAUAUUCAGAGAGAGGAGGAGGAGGCAGAAGAGGAGUUGAGUCAUUUCUGAGCUAUUUAUCAUAUGCUUGUAGUGCUAAUUCUGAAUGCUCCUUUCUGGGCUAUGAAUUGCAACGAAAUGAGGGUUCUUUUAUUUAUAUUUACAACCUCACUUAACACAGUUCCUGCUGUGGAACAGAUACUGUACUCAAUGAAUUAUUAAGUAGUCUGACCCCAUAACUACUGUGUGAUUUUUUUUGAGCAUCUUGCUUCUAAUCUCAGAUGGUCAUUCUCUGUGUCUCCAAAAUGAAAAUACUGAAAUGUGUGUGGUUUCAGUCUUGAGGGUGUUGUAAUGACCAGGGGAAGAUGCAGAUGCUAGCAGCAGACCUGCUUUAUAUAUAAAUUGUGAAGUACUGUGGAUGGAUAGGACAACAAUUCUUUUCACGUUCCCUCCCAGAGUCUGUAACUUUCUGGUUCCUGUUAACUUAUGAGAUCAGACCUUUACCAGAGCUGGAGUUGUGAGGUCCUUGGCAGCUCUUACAAGGUGACUUGGUCACCUGUCUUCAAGAGGCUAAGUAAACAGGCAGAUGAUCCAUGCAGAGAAAGGAGAUGCAUUCCCAGGACACCUUGGGAAGAAGAAUGAAUUAGAGAGGGUCAAACCAUUCUCCUACAGCACUGGCUUACGUCCUUCCUAGUUUUUGUUUUUGUUUUGUUUUGUUUUGUUUUUCUGUUUUCUUUUUUUUAACUUUUAGAGACAGGGCCUCAUUAUGUCACCCUAGCUUGCCUGCAAUUCUUUAUGUAGACUAGGCUGGCCUUGAACUCACAGAGAUGUGCCUGCCUCUGCCUCCUGCUUGCAGGGAUUAGAGGUGUGCACAACAACGCCUGGCUCAAACUGCUUUUCUUAAGCCACCCUUUGUUUAAAGUUGAUGUCUGUCAACUCCAGUUUGUUACUUAUGUUAUAUUAAUUUCCAUUCAAGGACACAUUGUAUUUUUUUUUACCUUUAUUUACAUAGUUUUCAUUUCUUGACAUCUAGACCCUUUUGUUACCAAUGUAAUUUUCUGUAGGUUGUUACGUUCCUUUUUGACUUCAUGCAGCACAGGAAUACAAAAUUUAACCUUUCUCUAGAAUGGUUGUUUGUCUUUGUCUUCUCGCCAAUAAACUUUACAGGCAAUAAACCAUAGAAACCUGUUUGC